AUAUCUAUUAAUAAAUAGUCAUGUUCAUCCCUAAUACACGUGAUCAAAAACCGUUACAAACAUAUCACACCGAUUUUGCGCAAUUAUUCUAUUAGCAGCGCGCCAUUUCACUAAUGCCCCGAUUGUUUAAAGCGUCACCCCUAAUUAGCUCCCAAGAUUUUUGGAUUUUUCCCGUAUUUCCUGGGUUUUUCCUCAAAAUUUUACUGUUACUUUACGAUAUAAGUGCUCCGCUAUCACUGGAAGUAUUUUUCUCGGGAGAAUUUUACCGAAAAAGUGAUUUUCGUGGGUGUUGGAAGUUGGCCUCGAGGGGGUUAGAAACUUUUUGGCAAAUUCCUCUGGAUAUCCCGCUGAGAAAAUGCCACGAGGGUGAUUUCCAAGGAGAAACUUUUUUGGCCGCCAUUUUGAUGAAGCCCCCAUGGCGUCUGUAAUUUUUUUUAAUAUUCUGGAAUUUACGGAAAUUCAUAUAUCACUUGAAAUAUAUGGUUCGCUGGGGCAUUUGCAGUUUUAUGGAUUUUUUUUCCUGAAUGGCAGUUAUAACUGAUAUUGCUGUGAAUGGGGUACAUGUACCUAACAAGAGGAGCAUACAUUUAAGCAGUCCAAGUUCCAGUUAAAGCAGUACCUUCAACUUUUCUGGAAAAUUUUGAUACUCAAAAAUUAAUGAUACUUUGCUACACUUAUCAGGGUACAUUUUGUGUCUAUGCAUUUAUUUGGUGAAAAAAGCUGGAAAAUUCCUGGGAAAACUGGAUUAUGGCUUGAAAAAUCUUUCAUCUAAUUUGAAGACAUUGUUGCAAUCAUAGUAAGUUUUUUUUAACAACAAAAAAUAAU